CCUGGCUCAGGAUGAACGCUAGCUACAGGCUUAACACAUGCAAGUCGAGGGGCAGCAUGGUCUUAGCUUGCUAAGGCCGAUGGCGACCGGCGCACGGGUGAGUAACACGUAUCCAACCUGCCGUCUACUCUUGGACAGCCUUCUGAAAGGAAGAUUAAUACAAGAUGGCAUCAUGAGUCCACAUGUUCACAUGAUUAAAGGUAUUCCGGUAGACGAUGGGGAUGCGUUCCAUUAGAUAGUAGGCGGGGUAACGGCCCACCUAGUCUUCGAUGGAUAGGGGUUCUGAGAGGAAGGUCCCCCACAUUGGAACUGAGACACGGUCCAAACUCCUACGGGAGGCAGCAGUGAGGAAUAUUGGUCAAUGGGCGCAGGCCUGAACCAGCCAAGUAGCGUGAAGGAUGACUGCCCUAUGGGUUGUAAACUUCUUUUAUAAAGGAAUAAAGUCGGGUAUGCAUACCCGUUUGCAUGUACUUUAUGAAUAAGGAUCGGCUAACUCCGUGCCAGCAGCCGCGGUAAUACGGAGGAUUCGAGCGUUAUCCGGAUUUAUUGGGUUUAAAGGGAGCGUAGAUGGAUGUUUAAGUCAGUUGUGAAAGUUUGCGGCUCAACCGUAAAAUUGCAGUUGAUACUGGAUAUCUUGAGUGCAGUUGAGGCAGGCGGAAUUCGUGGUGUAGCGGUGAAAUGCUUAGAUAUCACGAAGAACUCCGAUUGCGAAGGCAGCCUGCUAAGCUGCAACUGACAUUGAGGCUCGAAAGUGUGGGUAUCAAACAGGAUUAGAUACCCUGGUAGUCCACACGGUAAACGAUGAAUACUCGCUGUUUGCGAUAUACGGCAAGCGGCCAAGCGAAAGCGUUAAGUAUUCCACCUGGGGAGUACGCCGGCAACGGUGAAACUCAAAGGAAUUGACGGGGGCCCGCACAAGCGGAGGAACAUGUGGUUUAAUUCGAUGAUACGCGAGGAACCUUACCCGGGCUUAAAUUGCAGAUGAAUUACGGUGAAAGCCGUAAGCCGCAAGGCAUCUGUGAAGGUGCUGCAUGGUUGUCGUCAGCUCGUGCCGUGAGGUGUCGGCUUAAGUGCCAUAACGAGCGCAACCCUUGUUGUCAGUUACUAACAGGUUCCGCUGAGGACUCUGACAAGACUGCCAUCGUAAGAUGUGAGGAAGGUGGGGAUGACGUCAAAUCAGCACGGCCCUUACGUCCGGGGCUACACACGUGUUACAAUGGGGGGUACAGAGGGCCGCUACCACGCGAGUGGAUGCCAAUCCCAAAAACCUCUCUCAGUUCGGACUGGAGUCUGCAACCCGACUCCACGAAGCUGGAUUCGCUAGUAAUCGCGCAUCAGCCACGGCGCGGUGAAUACGUUCCCGGGCCUUGUACACACCGCCCG
rnacentral:rRNA from 1 species